GAUGCAGAUUUGGAUUUUCUAUUUCAUAGUUAUUGAAAUCAUAAUGAGAAUGAAGUACUGCCACUAAGGUAAAGGUGCUAACUUGCAAGGAGCUGUUCUCAAAACAUUGGGUGACAAAGAAUUCACUUUUACAAAAAUCGAGCAGGAUAUUAAAGACAGCGAACUAUAGAACAAAUAUGGCGAAGCUGCAUGAAGUCUAUGUGGAAUUUUAUUAUUGAAAAAAUAUGCUCUUCAGAUUUAAUGUUAGUUUUUAUUGUUUAACAGUAAUUGCAGUUUUCGAAUACCUGUAAAAUAAACCUAAU
rnacentral:lncRNA from 1 species